rnacentral:rRNA from 1 species
AAGUAACGAGCAAGCUUAAGCCGGUAGGCGAGGCGCAGCGAAAGCGAGUCUGAACAGGGCGUUCAGUUCGUUGCUUUAGGACCCGAAACCCGGUGAUCUAGCCAUGAGCAGGUUGAAGGUGCAGUAACAUGCACUGGAGGACCGAACGGGUGUCUGUUGAAAAAAGACUCCGAUGACUUGUGGUUAGGGGUGAAAGGCCAACCAAACCGGGAAAUAGCUGGUUCUCCGCGAAAUCUAUUUAGGUAGAGCCUCGCGUGAAUACUCCAGGGGGUAGAGCACUGGAUGGGCUAGGGGGAUUACCGUCUUACCAAACCUAACCAAACUCCGAAUACCUGGAAGUACUGCGCGGGAGACACACGGCGGGUGCUAACGUCCGUCGUGGAGAGGGAAACAACCCAGACCAACAGCUAAGGCCCCCAAUUCGCAGCUAAGUGGGAAAGGAUGUGGAAAAUCCCAAAACAACCAGGAGGUUGGCUUAGAAGCAGCCAUCCUUUAAAGAAAGCGUAACAGCUCACUGGUCUAAACAAGGGUUUCUGCGCCGAAGAUGUAACGGGGC